rnacentral:lncRNA from 1 species
GAUUUAGAGAAACAACAAAGGAUAGUGCUGUGCCCUGGGAGCUGUUACCUCCCCUUGCCCGGAGGUGAGGGGAGGGAGAAGAUACCCCCAGGUAGAGAGGACAGUGGAAUGAUAAGGACCGCCCACGGGAGCAGUGCCAUUCGCUAGAUGGACGCAGCCAACCAGGAGCAGCUCAGCAGAAAGGGAACUGGAAGAAUAAAUAUUCCGAGCUCACCCUCCAUCCCUCUGCCUGACACCGUGGGUACCUCCCCCUGGCCAACCCCAGCUGGAAGCCAGGGUGGAGGGGGGCCGGUGAGGCAGUCCUUGCAGGCCAGCCUCGCAGGGCUCAGCGCUGAACGGGGAAGGGCGGAGGGCCAACAGCAAGCACCCGGCAUGUCCCUCUACCAUGGCGUAUUCCAGAGGACCACACUCCCGGGGAAGGGUUGGCAAGCCCAGGCCUCCACGUGCCCUCCCUCUCCCCCUCCACCCCACGUGCAAAUGAACUCCACAACUAAAGCUCUUGCAGGUACAGAGAAUUUUCUCCUGCUCAUCCCUUGUCUGAUCAAUCCAGAAUAAUUGCUGGGCGGACAGAAGGCGACUAACUUGCAUGAGGUUCUUCCUAAUCGUUAAUUCAGAUUACCCUCUUCUCCACACCCUACUGCACUGUCUGGAGUUCUAGCCAUUUGUCGAGUGUGUGCGCUUGUGUGUGCGUGUCCUUGGUCCACAGUCUUUGGGUUAGAGCCACAGACGCCUCACUAACGGGUCCCUGCAGAGCCGAGAGCUCUGAGCACGUGGCCACUGAGCCCCCUGGGAAGGGAGGAGGUUCUCUUUCCCACACACGUCUCCUCGUAGCGGUGAGCACAGCUCAGUGCUGAGUGCAGCCAGAGGCUUGCUUUCCCUUCUCGCCCUAAGAUGUAAAAACAAGACCUUGGUCUGUCGGACCGGGACCGGCAGUGGCUGGGCUUCCCACUCUGGAGUCUGGAGAAGGAAGGUUGUAUUACGAGGGAAGCUGCUGGUUGGAUGAGCAGAGAACUCAGUGAACGGGAAAGUGAAGAGAUGUUUCUCAGGACCUAAACCAGAAAGUCUCCACUCUGACGGCAGAGUCGAGAAUGUUCCUCUUAGAGGCCCCUGCUGCUUUUCAAAUCCCGGAGAAGGCACCGUGACGUCAUGAAAACCACCAAUUGAAUGAGUUUCUUAGGUGCCUGUCUUUUAGGGCGCGGGGCUUGCAACCAGCCCCCAGGUCACUGCCCCACCCUGCCAGAGGCCCUGCAAGCUUGGCCAGGGACAGUCACCCCAGUUUGUUCUUCUGGGCCCUCCUUGCCUCAUAGGGGUUUCUCACAGACUGUGCUUCAUCGGUUGUGAGAUCUUUUCUCCGAGUAACUAAGGGAAGGAUUUUCGUUCCCACCGUCCACAUCAAUAGAUAUCCCCCACACGGACCACAAGGUGAGGAGACCCCCGCUGCACCAGCCUCUUUAUCGAAGAAUAACCUUGGUGCUUCUUGCUGGAAGAUGCUGCCCGUGAGGAACCGGAGACUAAGUAUGAACAGGUUUUUCCCUAUUGACAGAACUGUCCAUGCACGUUUGUUAGUUCAGCACUUAAGAUGAUCCAGGGUCUAAAAUUCCACCCUUUUAAAACAUUUUUGUUUUCAAAUAUUUAUUUCAGCCUUACUGAGAAGAAUCAAGAAAGAGCAUUCCCAUUUGGUUGUUUACAGAGCAGAGUUUCUCAAAGUUGGCACUAUUGACAUCCUGGGCCGGAUCAUUCUUUGUUGUGGGGGGCUGUUGUAUGUGUGUGUGUGGGGUGCUGUAUUGUAGGAAGUUUAGCAGCAUCCCUGCCUCCACUCACUAGAUGCCAGUAGCACCCCACCCCUUGGCCCGUCAUGACAACUAAAAAUGUCUCCAGGCGUUGCCAAAUGUCUCCUGGGGGGCAAAAUCACCCCCAAUUGAGGACUACUGCUGUAGAACAAUUUUAUUCAAACAACAAACAUGGAUGGAACAUGUGUGUGAUAACUCCAUAUUUAAACAUCUUACCCGAACCAGGAGUUAGAGGGCUAAAACCAUGACUAAGACAUCAUCCUGGUUCUCUAGGAGCUUGCAGUGUGGAACUAGAGAUGUCCCACAAGUGACUGGACAGAGGAUAGAAGUUCCCAGCCUCCAGAGUGGAGCAUCCAUCAGCAUAGGCCCUUACAUCACAGCCCGGAUCCAUCUGGAAUGCUCUCCAGCACACCUCCACCUGCAUGUGUUCUUACCUUCCUUCAAAGGCCAGCUCAACUGCCACCAUCUCCGAGAAGUCCACCUAGAUCCUGUGCAUGCUUCAAGUCAUUUUGGAGGGUGCCCAAAUGUUGCCUGAUUUGUCUCCUAUUAGAGUUAGCUGUGAGGUAUCUGCCUCCCGACCUAGAAUAAGAGUUCCUCGGGGGCAGGAACUUCAUCUCCUUCCCCUCUGUGUCCCUCCCUUGCUCCUAACAGGGGACUUCGCAGGCUGUAUAAGUUUAUUGAAUUGAAUGAAAGUGGAUAAUUCAAAAUGGGUUAUUUGAAAUGCCUGAGCUCAGCUAUACUCCUCACAGAGAAGCUAAAUGUAUCUUGCUCACAUUGUGAAUGUCCACACCGUAUUCUGGACUUUGGACUGGAUCUGUCCUGCAAACUUAGUCUCAGCUCAGAGAAGUUGGAAGCUUAUUAAAAUAGUUCAGCAAGAUGUCCCUGAGCCUCCCAUGCUCGGUGCUCCAUCCCUGAAGUAUUCUUGGUCAAAUCAGGCUCUUAUCGGUCAAGGACAGUUACUUUCGUGCCUUCCCAUCCUCGCCCUGCACACACACACACCAAAGACAUGGGCAAGUUUAAAUCUUUUCUUAUAAGGAAAGCUUCGGAGAAGAUCCUCUGUGGCAGGAGAUAUUAGUGGCUUGAGGACAAUUCCUGUCUAACUGAACGGGAGUGAUUAAAGCACUUUUUGGUGUUCAGCAGAUUCAUGGUGCCACAAAACAUUGUCUGGGCAGACAGCGAGACCCAUUGGGCCUCUGCGGCUAGGACUGGCUUCUGUUGCAAUGAAACAGAGCUUCCGGCCGGACUGUAAUUUGGGAUGCACAAGGAGGCAUCUGAAUAUUAGAACAACUUUCUUCUCUUCACAUUUGUCUUGAGGGCUCUCCAAUCCUGAGACCUACGAUUCUUCCCUCCUUUGCUUCCUGGGAGCCUAGCCCAACUUUUGGGCUGGGGGUUCCAAAGUGAUUACGUGGCAGCCCUAGGUUGCUCAUGGUCCAGUAGAGGCAAGCCACCAAGCACACAGUAAUCUGAGCACCCAGGGGUGGCAAGGGAGGGAGCUCUUCCGCCUCUUGUCUCCACCAGUCCUCCACCUUUCUCUUUUUCUGGGCCUUUCUUUGAUAUGGACAAGCGACAUUUUCUCCAUCGUAGUGAAGCCAUGACUUGAAGGCCCGGUUGCAAUAUGACGUUGCCCCAAAGACUCUUCUUACAGUGUGGUCUUCCCCUUAUCUGCGGGGGACACGUUCCAAGACCCCCAGUGGAU